rnacentral:rRNA from 1 species
UCGGGAAUUUUGUGCAAUGGGCGAAAGCCUGACACAGCAACGCCGCGUGAAGGAUGAAGUCCCUCGGGAUGUAAACUUCGUAAGAAUAGGAAGAAUAAAUGACGGUACUAUUUGUAAGGUCCGGCUAACUACGUGCCAGCAGCCGCGGUAAUACGUAGGGACCAAGCGUUGUUCGGAUUUACUGGGCGUAAAGGGCGCGUAGGCGGCAAUUCAAGUCAUCUGUGAAAUCUCCGGGCUUAACUCGGAACGGUCAGAUGAUACUGCUUUGCUAGAGUGCAGAAGGGGCAAUCGGAAUUCUUGGUGUAGCGGUGAAAUGCGUAGAUAUCAAGAGGAACACCUGAGGUGAAGACGGGUUGCUGGGCUGACACUGACGCUGAGGCGCGAAAGCCAGGGGAGCAAACGGGAUUAGAUACCCUGGUAGUCCCUGAGCGGGCUGGCAAGGCGCAU